GACAAGAAAGAUUGACGACUGCUCAGAUUCACAGUUGCACUAGUAGAAAAAAUGAAAUAGGCACCCCCCUUAGCACCGGUUCUUGAAAAUUGGUGCCAAAAGAAAUGGGCGGGAUUUACAAAUUUGAUUUUGACACCGGUUCGCCUUAAACAGGUGCCAACUAUGGUAAUUAGAAACGGUUCAAACCGGUGCGAAUUAAAAAAGAAAAAAAAAAGUAUAAAGGUAUGCGUUACUCUGCUUCUUCUUCUUUCUUUGUUUCCCCUUGCUUUUCAUUUUCGAUUUUCCCUAACUCUCGUUUUUGCCCUUCUCUUAGCUUCGACCACCUCUGAAGUUCCACCUUUCUCCAUAUCUCUCCUCCAUUACGCGUGCUCGUAGUUCUCCAUUGAAGCGCAUUCUGAGCUUUGUCCAUAUCAUUCCUCCACUAUGCGUACUAUUAGUUCUCCAUUAAAGCGGAUUCGAGCUUUCUCACCUCCAUUGAAGCAGCUUCGAGGUAAAGACACUUAUGAAGGAUCAUUUAAAUGGAAAAUCAGGAGGAUCAAGUGAAAUGUCGUCUGAGUCCAGUGCAUCAGUUGAACUGAACUCACGUAACUUUGAUGAUUUAGUACUGAGUACAGAAAGGAGAGCAUUGCUUACAGAAAGGAGUCAUCUUGAAAGCUAUUCUUAUUGUUUAUGUGGUGAUUAAUGAUUUUUUUGUCAGUGGAACCCUUAGUUUUCCAUUAACAUUUACGCGUUUGUAAUAUGCAUCUCCAUUUUAGUAACAUGAAUAAUGUGGUGUUUAUACUAAUUUUGGUUCUUACCUGUUUUCGUUGUCAACCAUCUGAUGUAGUUUGUUUGUGUUGCAAAAACGUUAUUUCUUUACCAAUGACUCUAUGAGAGGGAUACACUCUUCUACAGUCUUAAUUGUGUGAUUAAUCUGUUAUUUUUUUACUGUUGUGCUUCCACUUCAUUGAUUUGUUGUUUAGGCUGUUUUCACUUUUCAUUAAGACUUCUUUGACCUGUUGUCCUACUUAGACUGUACAUUCUGGAAUCAUUGCUGACUUGAAACUCUCAACAGCAGAUGUAAGUUGCUUUGUUUAUGCUUUCUAAUCUUAAUUAUGGAGUACUUUGUAUAUCUUAGUUAGUCUUUUGUAAGUAUCACGGAGUAGCUUCUUGCCUUCUACUUUGAUGGCCUUAUGUUUUUCUGCAGUAUUCCCUCUUUAGCUGGUUCGUCGUCCAUUUGAGACGAUCUUAGUAAUCUGAAGUGGCUUAUAAAAAUCUCUCUAAGUAAGAACAAGAUUCUCACAGCUGGUACAUUUCUGAUCUAUAAUUUGGUGUAUGAAAACCAUAUGAGGUAUCAAAGUAAGAAUAUGAAAACCAUAUUCUUGAGCAGUCUGAUGACCGUCUUUGUGUUCUUACUUAUACUGGUUGUUGCUGGAUAUGUUGUGGUCUUCCAGUUGUUUUUCCUUUCACCUGUUUUAUAUAUAGUCUUCUCGGUAACUCUUUCUUAACUUCCCACAUGACUGCCUUUGACAUUCUCAAAUAUGCUUCUUAGUAAGUAGCAGAUGUGAGAGUUUAAGAAAAAUCUUACUUGUUAGAAGCCAACAUCAAUUUUAAUAGAUUUUUUUUUAAUAGAUUUUUUUCAAAUUUUUUAAUAGAUUUUGAUUGUAUUCUAGAAGCCGACAUCAUAUAUGGGACUAUCUCUUGUAUUUGAGUUGGAUGCCUUCUCUCAGGGUCUCAGGGAUGCCUGUCCCGAGCAUCUUGCUUGCUUUUAAGGGUCACAAUUUUUGGUGCACCUGGGAUACAAGUUCUGAUUUUAGAGUGGAACAGAAAAUUGAUUAUUGUAUAGUAAGUCACAUAAAAAUGGCUACCUUUUUAAUAUUUUUGUCUAGAAAAUAAUUUAAAAAGGAAUAGGUUUUUGCAAAGCUUUACUUUGGUCAGCUGGGUAAUGCAUAAGCUGAAGUUAAAGUUCUAUGACACCCUAUUAUUUAUUUCGAUGGGAGUUGUUAUUGAAACAGUCACAAUUUGGAAAAAAAAAAAAGCCCAAUAGCAUGUUUGUUUUGUCUAAAUUCAAGAGGCAAAUAUUGUUGGGAAAAUUUUUGAUAGUAUAUGUGGGAACUUUGACAGGAUAUGUUUCAACAGUAUAUUAAAACAUUUGAAGGUAUAUAUUUAGACCCUAGAUAGGAAUUAAGAUGUUCUGCUGAAAUUCUAUGUUUUUAAUUUUGCCUAUAAUUACAUUCCUCCUGCCUGACUUAUAAGUUUGCUCUCUGCAGGAUGAAUUAGCUAAAGAGUUUUUCAAAGACGGAAGGCACCUUGAUGUGGAAGGUGUAUUGGAUGGUUUGGACCUGAAUUGAGUUACAUGCAAGCAAUUAACUAGAGGAUUGUAUAGACCAAAUACUACUUGAUUAGGGGAUUUUUCCCUACCAAUCAUCAGCUGACAAGUGGACCAUUCAAGCUCUUCCAAGUGUCCGCCACAUGGACCAAUUGGAGCCUGCCACAUGUCAAGUGUUGAUCAGUCCACCUUGGACCUCUUAUGCUACGACACGUGGCCUCCCCCAUGUCAAAUGGGAAAACCGGCCACCUAGGCCCAAAGUCUUGUGGAAGCCCAAUCAGCCCUAGGUUGACCUAAACCGAAGACUAGCACGCAUCCCAAGGUGAUAUACGUGUUUUAUACAAUGGUUUUCCCCGGUUUUACUUAGUAAUUUUAUAUGGUUUUGAGCUCUACGGAGCCAU